GGGACACCUCUGGGGCUGAGGACACCUGUCUGGGGACACGUGUCUGGCUCUGGGGACACCGCGGUGACGUCCCUGUGCCAUCCACCCUCUCUCGGCAGGGAGGAGCGAGAGCCUCUCCAGUGAGGAGGUCUGAGGACUGGGAACGGUGACGCAGUGUGCCGACCCCUCCAGCGGCACGAGGAGAUCCUGGAGGAACCCCGGAACCCUGGAAUGAUCAAUAAACCCCUGAAUGAUCUAUUUCCCUGGAAUGAUCAAUAAACCAACGAUCAAUAAACCAUGGAAUGAUCAAUAAACCCCUGAAUGAUCAAUAAACCCUAGAAUGAUCAAUAAACCAUGGAAUGAUCAAUAAACCAAUGAUCAAUAAACCCUGGAAUGAUAAAUAAACCAUGGAAUGAUCAAUAAA